CGAUGAAGAACGCAGCGAAAUGCGAUAAGUAAUGUGAAUUGCAGAAUUCAGUGAAUCAUCGAAUCUUUGAACGCACAUUGCGCCCCUUGGUAUUCCGAGGGGCAUGCCUGUUCGAGCGUCAUUA
rnacentral:rRNA from 1 species